GACCUGUGACAUGCAAGGACCUACACUAAGUCCCUAUGUGUGUGCCUAGAGACUGCAGUCGGAAAGCUGGGAUGAAGGACCACCCUAAACACAAGCCACUUCACCCAGCAAACACUGCAUGCCAAGGACUACAUGUUCUAGAAAUUCCGAUGUAGCAGAAGCAAGAUAGAAAAGCUUUGCCCUGAGUGAACUUCCCUUUACAAAGAGAAAGGGGUAGGGGAGACGAGAUAGCUCAAGAGUUCCUGGAAGCCUAAAGCCUAGUGGAUACACAGAGGCCAUGGAAACUCAGCCCUGGAGCCAGCCUGCCUACAGCUAUAGACACCAGAGUGAUUCCAGCCAUGUAACACCCAUUACACUUCUCAGCCAUGAGCUCCACACAGCUCCAAGGUGGCCUUCAUA